AUUUUGGAUCUUGAUGGUUGUCGCGCUCGGAUAGGGAUCCAUCUCAUCCCCUCUUCCUGUGACGUUUGAGCGAAGAGGGCACUGAGAGCAGCUUGGAGAUGGAUCCAGUGGCGGACGACGUCAGCUGGAGGAGCGAUUAGAAAUGAUGCCAAAGCAAUCCGAAUCAGGUUCUUUGUUGUUGAAAGACCCAAGACAUGCUCUGAUUUUUAUGACAUUCUUCCACCAAAAAAGCAUGCUGACUCUUAGAGGAUGAUGCAAAUAAAGUAUGCCUACAUGAUUCAAGAUCAGUCCCAGUUUCUGCUGAAACUGUGGCCCUACUAGCAGAAUAUGGAUUGAGGUAUGGGAUGCAUUGAUUAAUUGCAACGGGAAAAACUUAAAGAGGAAAAUUGUGAGCAUGUAUUUACACAAAUACAAGAGAAGAUGACCCUAACUGCAGUGGAGCAUGGAGCUGAAAGGUUGCCAGAAGAGUUGGAAACACUAACCUGAUAGUUCCAAAAUAGAAAAGGAAAACACAGACCAGCCAGAAAGUCAGAUCAUGGAGUUGCACAUAAAUAUUUUGAAAAACAACAAGAGUAAUACUGCUUAGCCAUCCAUAAUCAGCAUGCAUUGUUCUUCAUGCCUGCAAGCACAGCAUGAUUGUUAGCAUUGCACUAACCCUUGGCAUUGGGCUUGGAUUGUUUUUGCACUUUUUAAUAGACAAGCAAGAGAGCAAGAGAGCAAGAGAAAACGUUCAUACAAACAAGUGCUGAAGUUGCAGUACUCAGUUAAGUUAUUAACAGAGUCUAAACCCUGAUGCAUACUAAAUAUAAAGCUAAAGUUACAAUCGUUUAUCAUUUACAUGCAGUUAUAUUGCACAUUCAAGCUAGGUUUUAAUAUUAGCUGUAUAUGGAUUUGUGCUUCCUACUGUCACCUUUUCUUCAUGUAUAGCUUCAGCUCUCCCCUAGUAAUACACACUCUGUCCAUUCAACUAGUAUGGAUGCUAUUGCUAGGCAUCAUUCAACUCAACUCACUGAGCAGAAGCUUUGAUCAAAUAUAUUUGGGUAAACUCUUCUUGGCAACACAUUUUAUUUAUUUCAUGCAUAUCUUCUCUGUAUCUUUGACUCAAACCACCAUUAGCAAUCUGUAUCUUAUGGUGUGCCAACACUGCACAAUGAUUCCCGGAAACAACUAUGGCCUCAACUGCCUUUAGGUUGGCCUAACAUAUCGAAGAACAAUCUCGAAUCGGAUCUAACUCAGACUCUCUCAAUUAACCAAAAGUAGUGAAAAUGAAUCCAAUACGCUGUCAUUCAUUUGCAGUAUUUUAUUGGUUCAUAUGCAUACUCUGCCGUGGUUAUUUUUUUUGAGAGCUUGAUACAUCUCCGGGAAGCCACUUACUUUAAUUGCUAUUAGUCCUCGAUCAUGUGCAGGAUUUAUACGUAUAAAUAAACAAAAGCCACGAAAAAACUUUGAUUUUAUAUUUCUGCAUGCUUCUUAGUUGGCCAUAUUUAAUUAUGGAAUGAGGAGAGGCUUUGGUUUCUGGUGUGCCCUUCAAGUUCCAACUAAUGAAUUAAUCUUGAAAAUGAGAGCUGGAGUGAGUUAAAGGAAUUAAGACCGUGGAAGAUGUGAUGGAACAGGGUUUGCUGGCUUCAAUUAGUGCAUGGGGAUUCAGUAAUAAAGAAGAGUUAAGGCAGUAAUGUAAUGGAUGGAAAUAUUAAAUAUAGCAUGAUGUGAAUUGUC